rnacentral:rRNA from 1 species
UACGGGGGGGGGCAAGCGUUGUUCGGAAUUACUGGGCGUAAAGGGCUCGUAGGCGGCCAACUAAGUCGGAUGUGAAAUCCCCAGGCUUAACUUGGGAACUGCAUCCGAUACUGGAUGGCUUGAAUCCGGGAGAGGGAUGCGGAAUUCCAGGUGUAGCGGUGAAAUGCGUAGAUAUCUGGAGGAACACCGGUGGCGAAGGCAAUCCCCUGGGCCUGUACUGACGCUCAUGCACGAAAGCGUGGGGAGCAAACAGG